rnacentral:rRNA from 1 species
UACGUAGGCAGCAAGCGUUGUUCGGAGUUACUGGGCGUAAAGGGUGUGUAGGCGGUUGUUUAAGUUUGGUGUGAAAUCUCCCGGCUCAACUGGGAGGGUGCGCCGAAUACUGAAUGACUAGAGUGUGGGAGAGGUGAGUUGGAAUUCCUGGUGUAGCGGUGAAAUGCGUAGAUAUCAGGAGGAACACCGGUGGUGUAGACGGCUCACUGGACCAUAACUGACGCUGAGACACGAAAGCGUGGGUAGCAAACAGG